AUUCAACAAAAAGUUCAACCUAAUAUGCUGAUGCUGACAAUGAAAGACCAGUAAGACAAUAUCGACAUGGACAUCCAGGUAUUUAGUCACUACACAUCUCUUCAAGCAAUUUAAAAAGGCAAAGUUGCCAACCAGCAAGAUGAUUUUCUAACUUUGGGUAUACCUCCACCCAAUGGCCAAGUGCAAUAUAGACAUCAGGGA
rnacentral:lncRNA from 1 species